rnacentral:rRNA from 1 species
GAUGAACGCUGGCGGCGUGCUUAACACAUGCAAGUCGAACGGAAAGGCGCUGCUGUUGUGCCUUGCUCGGGUGGCGAACGGGUGAGUAAGACGUGAGUAACCUGUCCUUGACGGUGGGAUAACUGCAGGAAACUGGGGCGAAUAGGGGAUAUCAGCUGCUGCUGCGUGGUGGGGGUUGGAAAGUGUCGGUGGGUGGGGAUGGUCUCGCGGCUUAUCAGCUUGUUGGUGUGGUGGUGGCUUACCAAGGCUUUGAGGGGUAGCCGGCCUGGGAGGGUGGCCGGCCACAUUGGGACUGAGAUACGGCCCAGACUCCUACGGGAGGCAGCAGUGGGGAAUAUUGCAGAAUGGGGGGACGACUGAUGCCGCAAAGCUGCGUGCGGAAUGACGGCCUUCGGGUUGUAAACAGCUUUUGCAUGUGACGAAGCGUGAAUGACGGUAAUGGGUAAAGAAGCAACGGCUAACUACGUG